UACGAAGGGGGCAAGCGUUGUUCGGAUUUACUGGGCGUAAAGGGCGCGCAGGCGGUUCUGUUUGUCGAGUGUGAAAGCCCCGGGCUCAACCUGGGAACUGCGCUCGAAACGGCGGAACUAGAGUUCGGGAGAGGAGAGUGGAAUUCCCAGUGUAGAGGUGAAAUUCGUAGAUAUUGGGAAGAACACCGGUGGCGAAGGCGGCUCUCUGGACCGAUACUGACGCUGAGGCGCGAAAGCGUGGGGAGCAAACAGG
rnacentral:rRNA from 1 species